UAUGUAGGGUGCGAGCGUUAAUCGGAAUUACUGGGCGUAAAGCGUGCGCAGGCGGUUUUGUAAGCCAGAUGUGAAAUCCCCGGGCUCAACCUGGGAAUGGCAUUUGGGACUGCAAGGCUGGAGUACGGCAGAGGAGACUGGAAUUCCUGGUGUAGCAGUGAAAUGCGUAGAUAUCAGGAGGAAUACCGAUGGCGAAGGCAGGUCUCUGGGCUGAUACUGACGCUGAGGCGCGAAAGCUAGGGUAGCAAACGGG
rnacentral:rRNA from 1 species